rnacentral:tRNA from 1 species
GCCGGAUUAGCUCAGUGGUAGAGCAACUGAUUUGUAAUCAGUAGGCCGCAAGUUCGAAUCUUGCAUCCGGCACCA